GACGAAGGAUGCAAGCGUUAUCCGGAUUCAUUGGGUUUAAAGGGUGCGUAGGCGGACUUGUAAGUCAGUGGUGAAAUCUCUCAGCUUAACUGAGAAACUGCCAUUGAUACUGCAGGUCUAGAGUACAGAUGACGUGGGCGGAAUAUGACAUGUAGUGGUGAAAUACUUAGAUAUGUCAUAGAACACCGAUUGCGAAGGCAGCUCACGAAACUGUAACUGACGCUGAGGCACGAAAGUGCGGGGAUCAAACAGG
rnacentral:misc_RNA from 1 species